rnacentral:misc_RNA from 1 species
ACGGACGAUGGUGACUACAACAUCAAGAUGCGGAACAUCCGCCGUUUCCUGGCAGAAGGUGACAAGUGCAAAAUCACCCUGCGUUUCCGCGGGCGUGAAAUUACCCAUCAGGAACUCGGUCUUGCCCUGCUCAAUCGCAUCCGAGACGAUUUGGGUGACUCUAUCUUGAUCGAGCAGUUUCCAAAGCUUGAAGGUCGGCAAAUGAUCAUGAUGAUCGCCCCUGGUCGAAAAAAGCCUGGGGUCAAGGCUGUGGCAGAAGGUACUGCACCUUCCGCUUGAAAACGCCGCAUCGUCAAAAGAUGUUUUUCGAGGUGCAGAUAUAAAUGCAC